UACGGGGGGGGCAAGCGUUGUUCGGAAUUACUGGGCGUAAAGGGCUCGUAGGCGGCCAACUAAGUCAGACGUGAAAUCCCCAGGCUCAACCUGGGAACUGCAUCCGAUACUGGAUGGCUUGAAUUCGGGAGAGGGAUGCAGAAUUCCAGGUGUAGCGGUGAAAUGCGUAGAUAUCUGGAGGAAUACCGGUGGCGAAGGCGGCAUCCUGGACCGAGAUUGACGCUGAGGAGCGAAAGCCAGGGGAGCAAACGGG
rnacentral:rRNA from 1 species